UCUCUCCCGCUCUCGCUCUGGGUGAGUAUAUAUAUAUUGUAUUUCAAUGAAUCUUCGUUCACAAACGGGCAUCAAUCCUUUACAACUUAUUCUGGCCUCACAUUUUCAGGUUUGCAAAAAUUCAAUUUUUGUUCGAAUAGUGUAAGUUUCAAAUGAGUCUAUCGACUUCAUCAUCUCAUGUUACCCAAAUUGAUACAGGUCUAUCUUCUUUUUCGAUACUUGGAUCUUUGGUUGUAAUCGGUUCUCUCACAACAGAGAGCUCGACAGGGACAUGAACAUAGUUGUUAAAAACCUACGAAUUCUACAAUUUGUGUCGUCUACUUCAAAAACUAAAAGUAUCUAUCCUUUUGUGCAGGAUUUGUGCAAAAAUCCUGCGAUACGAUAAGGUAUCCUACAACGUCGAUGUGUAUGUUAGGAAAAAGCUUUUAAAAUUAACCUCUUUAAAAUGGUUUAUUAGCUGAAUUAACUGUAAAAUAAGGAAAAUCGGUUGAACAUAUUUGUAACUCCCAUUAAUUUAAUCUUUUAUGAAAAAAAUAUGAUCUCGAGAGUGAUAUGAGUGGAAUUUCAAUCAACCCAGUGCUAAAGGAGACAUAUCUUCUCUAAGAAGAGCGCUACAUGCAUGCAUCGAUCAAUGAUGUUUCUCUAUAUCCCUAUUUCUCAAACUAUUGCAAGUAAGCUGGACUAUGUGCAAAACCAUGGUUCUGUUCUGCUACAUGGACUUUUUGACGAGUUUGCAUUCACAGGUAGUUCUAAUACUAUACCCAAAGCACAAAGAGGAUAUCUUUGAUUGUUUUCAUUUUUUAUCUUCGAAAUAGCAAAUACAGGAUGUUGUGUGAUGGGCUACAGGGUCACCAAUUUGAUGGCCUCGGGGGAGAGUACAGUGUUAUGGGAGAUUUGAAGUGAAGAUCAAGAUCGGGCUUUGUUUUUUAUUCACGGUAUUUAGAUUGAUAAUCUCUGUAACUUUUAUACGAGAGAGAUAAUGUCUCUUGGCUGAAUAUGGCUAGAUGGAAACGAGAAACUUUUCAACACAGUUGAUAGGGAUGGAACAUGGCUAAUGGCCAUGCCAUAACACGUGAUCCGCUGCUUGUGCUCGUGAAUGAGGGAAGUGCAAGUGCAAGUGAGAUUUUGGCUGGAGCUCUACAAGACAAUGGCUGAGCUAUCCUUGUUGGGCACAAAACCUUUGGGAAAGGAAAAAAUUCAGGUACUAGUUACUACUAACCUCUUCCAAAAAAGUUUGUACCCUGUACAUAAGGCUCUUCCUGCUUGCACACAGUUUGAAGAACUAGGCAGGCAGUUUUACUUCCGCUUCUUUCAUUUUAGUUUUGGAGAAGCUAAUAAUCUUGACUUAAGCCAUGCCAACACCACUUCCCUAGAGGAAAAGGAGUGAUGAGACACGGCUUACGAUGUGACUUGAAGAUAGCAUUGGCCAUCGCAACACAGCUGAUGGGUGGAUCGUUGACACUUUGAAGAACGACAAAUCUCCCUUAGCUUAUGUUGUCAAGAAUGCAUUUUCUAAGAAACUUUCUAUGGGGUGAUUCUGCUGACAAAAAGAGAUUGCACAAGGUAAAAUGGGGUUCCAUCACAAGAGGCAAAAAAUAUGGGGGUUUGGGUAUCAAGAAACUAGUGGAGCACAAUUGUGCUUUGCUUGCAAAGUGGUGGUGGAGAUAUAAUGAGGACAAUUCCCUAUGGUGAAAGGUUCUUAAAAGCAAAUAUAGGUAUGGGGAAGACAGUUGGCUACCUGCAUUACCUUCAACUAGAAAACCAUCCAGAAUUUGGCAUGAUGUACUAUCAGUUGGUAACAUAUUAUUAAUGACGGACUAUGCAUAAAAGCGUGGGCUGGAAAUGUUGCUAAAUUCUGGACUGAUAUAUGGUCAGGUGAACAAUCCCUGAGAGAGAGGAAUUUCCUAGACUCUACCUGUUAUCAACUCAAAAGAACGCCUUGAUCUGUCAAGUGACUAAUUCCAACAGCUCACGGGGAUUGGAAUUUGCAGUUUAGAAUGUCUCUCUUUGUUUUGGGAAACUGAACAGCCAGAACUCUUGCUGCAAAAGAUACAGAAUUUCAGAAUAGAUGAUUCAAGGGGUGAUGUUCUACAGUGGAGAUGGAACCAGGACACAACCUUCUCAGUUAAGUCUGCAUAUAGUGCUUGGGAAUCCAGGUCCUACACUGAAAAUCCCUGUCUUCUGUCAUUAUGGCAGAACCUUUGUCCUUUAAAAGUGGAGGCAUACGUAUGCAGGUAAUCCAGGGUAGAAUUGCAACAAGAUCUGAACUUUUGAGGAGGAAUAUUAUUCUGGACUUAAACCAAGCUGUGUGCCCUCUUUGUUCCAACGAUACAAGAACUCCUGAUCACCUACGACUUGCCCCCUCUCUUGGCAGGUAUGGUCGAAUUUUAUGCAUUGGUGGAAUAUUCUUUGGAUUAGCGCUGCAUCCAUCUCCCAUCUUGCUGAGAGUUGUUUCAAUAAUGGAUUCAAAAAUCUAGAGAAACACAUCUGGAAUAUCAGUUUCUAUGCUAUCUUGUGGUCAUUAUCCUUGGCAAGGAAUGAGAUAGUGUUCAAUAACAAGGUUAUAGAAGCAUGUGAAGUUUAUGGAUCUGGUGAAGACCAGGACAGCUGUUUGGAUCAAGAGCAAGUUCAAUAUCAAGGAUUAUUCUGUAGAGGACUUCAAGAGAUGUUUGGAGGGAUUAUGAAAGUGAAAAUUUGAUUCUUGUA